rnacentral:rRNA from 2 species
GGGUUGUGAGGUUAAGCGACUAAGCGUACACGGUGGAUGCCCUGGCAGUCAGAGGCGAUGAAGGGCGUGCUAAUCUGCGAUAAGCGCCGGUAAGGUGAUAUAAACCGUUAUAACCGGCGAUACCCGAAUGGGGAAACCCAGUGUGAUUCGUCACACUAUCAUUAACUGAAUCCAUAGGUUAAUGAGGCGAACCGGGGGAACUGAAACAUCUAAGUACCCCGAGGAAAAGAAAUCAACCGAGAUUCCCCCAGUAGCGGCGAGCGAACGGGGAGGAGCCCAGAGCCUGAAUCAGCAUGUGUGUUAGUGGAAGCGUCUGGAAAGGCGCGCGAUACAGGGUGACAGCCCCGUACACAAAAGCGCAUAUGCUGUGAGCUCGAUGAGUAGGGCGGGACACGUGGUAUCCUGUCUGAAUAUGGGGGGACCAUCCUCCAAGGCUAAAUACUCCUGACUGACCGAUAGUGAACCAGUACCGUGAGGGAAAGGCGAAAAGAACCCCGGCGAGGGGAGUGAAAAAGAACCUGAAACCGUGUACGUACAAGCAGUGGGAGCCCCACCACCAAAGCAUUCUCUGGUGUUGAAGGCCCUGCAAAGCAGCAUCGCGGUGGCGGAGCGUCGUUUGCGACGCCCAACACACAAAACAAGCGGUGAAUGCUUUGGGGUGGGGUGACUGCGUACCUUUUGUAUAAUGGGUCAGCGACUUAUAUUCUGUAGCAAGGUUAACCGAAUAGGGGAGCCG